AGAGUUUGAUCCUGGCUCAGGACGAACGCUGGCGGCGUGCUUAAUACAUGCAAGUCGAGCGGAUCCCGGCCUUCGGGCCGAGGUCAGCGGCGGACGGGUGAGGAACACGUGAGUAACCAACCCACGAGUGGGGGAUAUCGGGCCGAAAGGCCCGGCAAUCCCGCAUACGCUGGCGCGCUGUCCAGGCGCGUCAGGAAAGGGCGCAAGCGCGCUCGUGGCUGGGCUCGCGGCCCAUUAGCUAGUUGGGAGGGUAACGGCCUCCCAAGGCGACGAUGGGUAGCCGGCCUGAGAGGGUGACCGGCCACACUGGGACUGAGACACGGCCCAGACUCCUACGGGAGGCAGCAGUAGGGAAUCUUCCACAAUGGGCGCAAGCCUGAUGGAGCAACGCCGCGUGAGUGAAGACGGCCUUCGGGUUGUAAAGCUCUGUCUGUCGGGACGAGGGCCCUGGGUUGCCCAGGGCGGGACGGUACCGGCGGAGGAAGCCCCUGCAAACUACGUGCCAGCAGCCGCGGUAAGACGUAGGGGGCAAGCGUUGUCCGGAAUUACUGGGCGUAAAGGGCGUGUAGGCGGUGGCGUACGUAGCGGUUUUAAGCCGUCGGCUCACCCGACGGAGGGUCGCUAAACGGCGCGACUGGAGGGCAGGAGAGGUGCGUGGAAUUCCUGGUGGAGCGGUGAAAUGCGUAGAGAUCAGGAAGAACACCCGUGGCGAAGGCGACGCACUGGCCUGUCCCUGACGCUGAGGCGCGACAGCGUGGGGAGCAAACGGGAUUAGAUACCCCGGUAGUCCACGCCGUAUACGAUGGGUACUAGGUGUCGCCCGGGUCCACCGGGCGGUG
rnacentral:rRNA from 1 species